rnacentral:snoRNA from 1 species
GUGCCUCUGACAGACCUAGAGCAGUUAAUGUCUGCUGCUAAGGUUUCCACUACAGAUGCAAGAGAAAGAGGGUCCUUGGACCCUUCUGUCUAUCUAGUUGUGGCAGCCAAGACUGAAUGGGGGAAUACAAGA